AGAGUUUGAUCAUGGCUCGAGGACGAACGCUGGCGGCACGCCUAACACAUGCAAGUCGAACGGAGAUAAUUUGAGUUUACUUGGAUUAUCUUAGUGGCGGACGGGUGAGUAACACGUGAGCAACCUGCCUUUGAGAGAGGGAUAGCUUCUGGAAACGGAUGGUAAUACCUCAUAACAUAGAGAUAGGGCAUCCUAUUUUUAUCAAAGAUUUAUCACUCAAAGAUGGGCUCGCGUCUGAUUAGAUAGUUGGUGAGGUAACGGCUCACCAAGUCGAUGAUCAGUAGCCGGACUGAGAGAUUGAACGGCCACAUUGGGACUGAGACACGGCCCAGACUCC
rnacentral:rRNA from 1 species